GAGAGAGAUGUAGAAGAGAGAAACAGACAGAAUUAGAGAGCAUAGAGAGAGAGAGAGAGAGAGAGAGAGAAACAGAAAGCAUAGAGAGAGAAACUGAAAAGAGAGAAGAAACGAAAAACAGAGCGUACGUGUGCGUACGCCUCUGCCCAGAGGAACCGGGUCCUCUUCGCGUGUGAGGUGAACUUCUUCUCUUCUAGUGCAUUUUCCUUCCUUCCCUCUUGCUUCGCAUCGUUCCCUUGAGCUAACUUAAUCUACCCAGAAUGUGCAGCAAGCUUCCGACGGAAGCUGUUCCCUCUGCUGCUGUCAACUGCGUAUCUGCUGCAGGUAGCUGAGUUUCUCUUGUCUUUUCCGCUUUCCUUAUUCUGUUUCCUUGCAUUUAGAGGAUGUUUAGGGAUGCCUUUACAUGUUAGGAUAAGUGCCUAACCAUUUCCUGCAGCAGAUUCUUCCCAGAACACUGCAGAAGUCGCUACAAAUCCACCCAGCUCUGCACGCAUCGCAUGGAUGUGUUGCAGAGAGUUCAUGCGCGAUUGGGGGCGAUCCACUCGUCCUAAAUUUGGUCUCCAUUGAGUUAUUCCACUCAUUUUGAUGCAUGACAAAAUAUGAGAGAAAAAUCAAGAAAAGCAACAUGAAGAAGUGCAGAAUUCGUGGAGAAGCCGUCAGACCAAGAAUAAGCCUUGCCUAAGGCUUAGGACCAACAAGAAGUAGCAGAAUCGAAUUCCUUUUCACUUGUUCCUCGGGCAAGGCUAAGGCAUCAGCGGAAUUACAAUUUGCAGACCCACUCAAAUAAGCCUCACCUGGGCUUACGUCUCAACAAAAAGAGGAAACAUAACUUACCCUUGGGCACAACUAACACCAAGGCAUGAGGAGGUCAUUCAAAGACCUACUCAAGGUUGCUUAAUUCUCGAACAAAGAUCAUGUCGAACCUGACUGAUAUUGAGAAGAAGAGAAUUACCCUUGCCCAAGGCUAGUGCAGAUUUGUUGAUCCUUGCCCAAGGUU